CAUGGCUUCCAUUGAAUACAUUUACCCGAAGAGCCAUUUCCCAGUUCAUUCCCCCAACUCCCGGCAAGGCUUACAGUGAAGUUUCCUUGUCUGCAGGUUCAGAAGAAGGUCUCUCACAGAAGCAGCGAGCACCUCGCAGACGGUGUCAGCAGCCCAAAAUGUUGAGUAGCCCCGAGGACACCAUGUACUAUAACCAGCUAAACGUGAGUUCAAAGUGGCCGUAAAGCCGUUUUACCGGCUUUGUUUCCAGUUAAUAAUUCUGUUAUUAAUACCUGUUCCAGCCCCGGCAGCCCCACCCCCA
rnacentral:lncRNA from 1 species